GUGAGGAAUCUUCCACAAUGGGCGAAAGCCUGAUGGAGCAACGCCGCGUGAAGGAUGAAGGUCUUCGGAUUGUAAACUUCUUUUAUGAGUGAAGAAUAUGACGGUAACUCAUGAAUAAGCACCGGCUAACUACGUGCCAGCAGCCGCGGUCAUACGUAGGGUGCAAGCAUUAUCCGGAGUGACUGGGCGUAAAGCGUUGCGUAGGCGGUUAUGUAAGCGAAUAGUGAAACCUGGUGGCUCAACCACACAGACUAUUAUUCGAACUGCAUAACUCGAGAAUGGUAGAGGUAACUGGAAUUUCUUGUGUAGGAGUGAAAUCCGUAGAUAUAAGAAGGAACACCAAUGGCGUAGGCAGGUUACUGCGCCAUUUCUGACGCUAAGGCACGAAAGCGUGGGGAGCGAACCGGAUUAGAUACCCCUGUAGUCC
rnacentral:rRNA from 1 species